rnacentral:lncRNA from 1 species
UCGUACAAAUGAUUCUCAAUCUAUAGACAGAAAAAAGAAAAAAGAAAUAAAGAGGUGCCAUAAUGAUGACUAAAUUAGAAAAAGUCCACAAGUCGGGCGACAAAUUGUUGAUCGAGUUUAGUGUCGCUUAUACGAUACUUGAUGGUCCUCACUCUUCACUUUUUAAGAGUUAUUUUGCAUUUCUUGAAUGUAGCAAAGUUAAUAUAUUGAUA